GGAUUGAGGUUCUACUUCUCAGAAUGCCACAUUAUGGAAGCAACUGCCUCAUCUGAGGCUCUUAGAGGGCAUUUGAACAUCCAUCCCUUUGUCUAAUUUGGGUCAAGAUUUCCCUGCAGACUUUAUUGUUCUGGUUUCAGUUAACACCUAUUCCUGCUAAGCUUUAUAAGACAGGGUCGAAGCAGUCAGAUGGACAGCCUCUGGCUAAGGAUCAGAAAGCACAAGCCUUGUGCACAAAGCCUGCCUUGCUAAACCCUGCUGUCCGUUUGUACCCAGCAUACCCCAUGUUACCAAGUUCCUUGGACUCGGGCCCUUGUCUGCUUGGAUCAACAAUGUUUGCCAGAUUCUUUCUCCUUAAUCAGUGUCCACCCCCCACCCCCAGCAUUUUAUCAGUGGUGGUUGAAUGUAGGCCUUAGGAUACCUUAAGAUUCAAAUUCCAUGACUCUCCACUAGAGACUUUUCAAAGCCCAAAAUACCUUCUCUCAAAACAAAGACUAUGACCUUGUGGGUUUGUUGACAAGGCUUUGUUGUUAGUUCUUAGUGCAUGUAAUUUAGAGCAAAAAAAAAAGGGUUUCAUUCUUCAUUCCCAGAUCUUAUAAUCUUUGAGAUGAAACAGAGUAGAACACAGUUCUGCUAGAGAUACAUGAACUCCUUAGUUGUCAUAUGGUAGAUCUGGCAGUGGUAGAUCUGGCUAAUCAGCAAAAGUUUUCUAGAUAAAGUAGACCCUGAGCAUGAUGCUCAAAGAGAAACAUUCAAGUUUGUCCUUGUACAGAUGAAUCUCUCAUUUGAAAUUGGAAGGGCUGAACAGCACUGUAGCGCCAGGAUAUUUUUUAAAUUAAAUUAAGUUUAAUUUAAUUUAACUUUAUUUAUUUAUUUUUCAUCAUGAUAAGUGUACUCUUUAAUCCCCAUUACUGAUUUCAACCAUCCUGCCUCCUACUUCCCCUCUGGUAACAUCAACUUGUUCUCUAUAGUUAAGAAUAAAUUUCUUAGUUUCUCUCUCUCUCUCUUAUUUUUUCUUUGUUCCUUUGUUUUGUUUCUUAAAUACCACAUAUGAAUGAGAUCAUAUGCUAUUUGUCUUUCUCUGGCCUCUGCUGUCUCCUCUCUAGCU
rnacentral:lncRNA from 1 species